UCCCCGGUGGCGCAACCGGAUAGCGCGUCGGACUGUUAUGUUCCUUCCAUCUCAAAGGAGUAGCAGGUAUCCGGAGGUUGUAAGUUCAAGCCUUACCCGGGGAG